rnacentral:rRNA from 1 species
CAGCCGCCACGGGAAUACGGAGGGAGCUAGCGUUGUUCGGAAUUACUGGGCGUAAAGCGCGCGUAGGCGGUUACUCAAGUCAGAGGUGAAAGCCCGGGGCUCAACCCCGGAACUGCCUUUGAAACUAGGUGACUAGAAUCUUGGAGAGGUCAGUGGAAUUCCGAGUGUAGAGGUGAAAUUCGUAGAUAUUCGGAAGAACACCAGUGGCGAAGGCGACCACCUGGACUGAUACUGACACUGAGGUGCGAAAGCGUGGGGAGCAAACAGGAUUAGAUACCCCAGUAGUCCCUGUCUCUUAUCC